rnacentral:tRNA from 1 species
GGAAUUGUGGCUCAGUGGUAGAGCUCUUGUCUUGCAUAUAUGAGGCCCUGGGUUCAAUUUUCAGCACCA